rnacentral:rRNA from 1 species
AGUGAACGCUGGCGGUAGGCCUAACACAUGCAAGUCGAACGGCAGCACAGUAAGAGCUUGCUCUUACGGGUGGCGAGUGGCGGACGGGUGAGGAAUACAUCGGAAUCUACUUUUUCGUGGGGGAUAACGUAGGGAAACUUACGCUAAUACCGCAUACGACCUACGGGUGAAAGCAGGGGAUCUUCGGACCUUGCGCGAUUGAAUGAGCCGAUGUCGGAUUAGCUAGUUGGCGGGGUAAAGGCCCACCAAGGCGACGAUCCGUAGCUGGUCUGAGAGGAUGAUCAGCCACACUGGAACUGAGACACGGUCCAGACUCCUACGGGAGGCAGCAGUGGGGCAUAUUGGACAAUGGGCGCAAGCCUGAUCCAGCCAUACCGCGUGGGUGAAGAAGGCCUUCGGGUUGUAAAGCCCUUUUGUUGGGAAAGAAAAGCAGCAGGUUAAUACCCCGCUGUUCUGACGGUACCCAAAGAAUAAGCACCGGCUAACUUCGUG